UNCCUCAUCACAGAAUUUAAGGAUGCCAAACC
rnacentral:piRNA from 1 species